GACGAACGCUGGCGGCGUGCCUAACACAUGCAAGUCGAACGGGGAAGCGGCGUCUUUUUUGGUGGGUGUGGGUGAGUGGCGAACGGGUGAGUAACACGUGAGUAACCUGCCCCGUUCGGCGUGCUAACCCCAGGAAAGUUUGGCUAAUACGGGAUAUUCUGGCUCUGUCGGAUCAUGGGUCUGCGAAAGAUCUUGUUUGGGUGGGGGAUGGGCUCGCGGCCGAUCAGUUUGUUGGUGGGGUGGUGGCCUACCAAGGCGGGGACGGGUAGCCGGCCUGGGAGGGUGCAAGAUCACGGCGGGGAUGAGACGCGGCCAAGCCUCCUGCGGGACGCAGCAGUGACGAAUACUGCACGAUGGAGGGAAGGCUGAUGCAGCGCCGCCGCGUGCGGGAUGGAGUCCUGCGGGUUGAGAACCUCAUGCGGGAGUGAAGCAGAGCUGCUUUGUUUGUGGGUGGGUUGACGGUACCUGGAGAAGAAGCGCCGGCUAACUACGUG
rnacentral:rRNA from 1 species